rnacentral:rRNA from 1 species
UAGUGAGUUUGAUCCUGGCUCAGAACGAACGCUGGCGGCAUGCCUAACACAUGCAAGUCGAACGAGACCUUCGGGUCUAGUGGCGCACGGGUGCGUAACGCGUGGGAACCUGCCUUUAGGUUCGGAAUAACAGUGAGAAAUUACUGCUAAUACCGGAUAAUGUCUUCGGACCAAAGAUUUAUCGCCUUUAGAUGGGCCCGCGUUGGAUUAGCUAGUUGGUGAGGUAAAGGCUCACCAAGGCGACGAUCCGUAGCUGGUCUGAGAGGAUGAUCAGCCACAC